rnacentral:lncRNA from 10 species
CUCCUCCUUGCCUUUCACCUUCUGCCAUGAUCGUGAAGUCUCCCCAGCCAUGUGGAACUGUAAAGAAAGCAGGAAACUGUGACUAAAUGAAGAUCACAGAGCCAGUUGAUCAGUGGGGAAGCUGCAUCUGAAAUCCAGGACUUCUAGAUCCUGGGUCAACUGGAGGGGUCAUGCAUUCUGGAAAAUAAUGCAGAGUGGUACAGGCUGAAGCGGAGCGGAGAGGACACUGUUUCAAGAUUCCUGCGCCAGCUCCUUCGUUGUUAUAGAAGUUGGACUAAAUAAAAGGGUAAUCACAAGCGUACAGAUAACAGGCAGGCAGGAAUGUGAAAAUCAGAGAGAAGAGAGAUGUGCACCAGAAGCUGGAGUAAUGUGCUUUGAAGAUGGAGGAAGGGACCAUAAAUCAAGGAAUGCAGACAGCCUGUAGAAGCUGGGAAAGGCAAGGAUGUGGAUUCACUCGAGUCUCUAGAAGAAACGCAACCCCGCCAACACCUUGAUUUGAGGACGUCUGACCUUCAGAAUGAGAAAAUGAUACAUUUGUGUUGUAAGCCACCCAGUUUGUGAAAUAUGUAUCAACAAUUGAAAACUAGUACAUAGUCAAAUACUCAAUCUCUGUUUUUUUUAGCUUAUCAUUUUCAAUCUCUGUCUCCAACCCACAAACCACAUGCAUCAUAAAUAAAUUAAAAUACCAAAA